AUUGGCAGGGCAGGUGACGCGAGUGCGGCCACAUGGGACUUCAGGCGUGACACGCUAGAUACGACAGCAGCGGCAAAGGCGACAUGGGACACUUGCGCGAAAGGAAGUGGCAACCACGCCACCGGAAAAGCUGCUAGUCCAGUUUAGUCGCACGCAACAACAGAAACCAGAACGAAAACGAGGAGUGUAAAACGGAGUACGUGCAAUGCACGCAAUCCGACGAAUUCAUCGUUCAGAAGGGAACGCAGAUGUAUAGAAGGUGCUCAAGAAGCCAUAUAAUAUGCGCAACUCUGAUUGAAAAAACCAAUUCACAAGUACGUCUAUGUACGUAGUGCUGUCUGUCGACUACAAUUUAACCUACUUCUAGCAUAAUAGAUCUCGCCGAGGGCUAUUCACCUGUCCGACUGGUGCAAAGCCCUAUACAUCGUUGCGGUAAUGACGACAGUCGGCACUGAACAAAGGCCAUUUUAUCUCUAAACGAAACAGACCAAAUUUCUAAAUGGCUAAAAAUCACAUUAUUACGUCAAGGUACACACAAGUUCAAGUGUUUACCUAAUAACUCACUGAACUGAAAAGGGGAGAGGAUGGCCAUCGACGUAGCAUUGCAUGCCUUCAGGCCCUAACACAAAGAUCGAAUACGGCGCUGCCAAAAAUUACACCCUCAUAAAUGCACCGCAUUAAAAUCCAUGGAAGCCGUUAAGAGCAAAACGAGAAAAAGAUCGAAGUAAAAUGAAAAAAGCAGCAAAAAAAAAAAAAAGAA